rnacentral:lncRNA from 12 species
AGUCCCCGGCGGGGAUCCCCGGUUUUGCACUAAUGACCAUUGUCGGGCGGCCCCUUCCCUGCGCGCCGCUCACUUCCUGGCAGUGAUUCAGCUCGGAUGGGAGCAGAGAGGAGGGGAGGCGGGCUGCAUGGGGCCCUCCCUUCCCGUUUCAGCUCUUUGGUUGGGGCCGCUUGUGGACAGGGGUCCUGCCUCCCUCCCCGGCCACUCCUGCAUUCUCCCCGCGGGGGAGCCCUGGGGGCUGAGCAGGCUCCGGCCGGGUGUGGGCCGGGGAGGAGCUGCCUGCAGGCGGACACAAAGAGCGGAGCCUGGACGGGCCACCUCCGCACACGGCGGCCGUGGUGACUGGGUGGCAGGUUUGGGAGCGGCUUCUCUCUGCAUUUCGGGUUUUUCCUUCCAGGGGACUAGACCGAACCUGCAGCCCACACACCCCUGGGGGUAAACCUGGCGGAUCUGAAGGCAUGAGUGAGUGCAAGGGAUUCAGGGCCCACGCCCGGCUGAGGGCAUGACACCAGCAGGGGUAUCAGAAGGGAAAUCAGGGCCACGCGGUCUCAUUUUUAACGUGCGCGGACGGAACCCACAUCCACGGGAAGGACGGGCUUCGCUUUGUUUUGCUUUGCUUUUUUUUAAGACCACCUACCUUCACGUUAGCCCAUCUUUUAAAAACAAAAAAUAAAAAUGAAUAAAAAAGCA